rnacentral:rRNA from 1 species
UACGUAGGCAGCGAGCGUUGUUCGGAGUUACUGGGCGUAAAGGGUGUGUAGGCGGUUCUCUAAGUUUGGUGUGAAAUCUCCCGGCUCAACCGGGAGGGUGCGCCGAAAACUGGAGGGCUAGAGUGCGGGAAGGGAGAGUAGAAUUCCUGGUGUAGCGGUGAAAUGCGUAGAUAUCAGGAGGAAUACCGGUGGUGUAGACGGCUCUCUGGACCGCGACUGACGCUGAUGCACGAAAGCUAGGGGAGCAAACAGG